rnacentral:rRNA from 1 species
UACGGGGGGGGGCAAGCGUUGUUCGGAAUUACUGGGCGUAAAGGGCGCGUAGGCGGCCUGCUAAGUCGGAUGUGAAAUCCCUCGGCUCAACCGAGGAACUGCAUCCGAUACUGGCGGGCUUGAAUCCGGGAGAGGGAUGUGGAAUUCCAGGUGUAGCGGUGAAAUGCGUAGAUAUCUGGAGGAACACCGGUGGCGAAGGCGGCAUCCUGGACCGGUAUUGACGCUGAGGCACGAAAGCGUGGGGAGCAAACAGG